CCCCCGGUGGUCUAGUGGUUAGGAUUCGGCGCUCUCACUACCGCGGCCUGGAUUCAAUUCCCAGUCAGGGAA
rnacentral:tRNA from 1 species